rnacentral:lncRNA from 1 species
AACAGGACCCCAUCCUCAGCAAGAGCAGGGGUGCCCUUAAACACUAAGCCAUCUUUUUAGUCUCCCAUAGAUAUUUUUAGAAAUAAAAAACUCACCUGCUUCAUGGUGCAUACUCUUCCUCUCGGUGUGAUGAGAUCUGCAGCCGUCCUGCUGUGACCCACCUCGGAUGACAAUCACCUCUUUGUUCAUCAUCCACAGGUCAGCCUCAAGUUCCCCACCCCCCACCCAGCUUUCCAUUACCUUAGCUUCUGUUGUGAUAUUGUAGAACUUUUGUUCAAGCAACCUUUACCUGUGCCCUGAAGCACAAGAAUAAUGAUGAUAGCCAUUUAUCCAUUUUUAUACUUAUUUCAUGCUAUCAUAAGUUAUUGUUGUUAACCUUGUAUUGUGUAUAAACAAAUUAAACUUUAUUGUAGUGUGUAUACAUAUGAGAAAAUAGUCCAUAGAGAGUUCAGUACUAGCUGUAAUUUUGGGCACACAUGCACUUUGGAGUCUUAUAACAUGCCCCUUGCAGACAUAGUGGGGACUAUCGUAUUUCAGAAAACGUCUGGAUGGAGUGUCAAAAAGAUUUAUUUUUUAAAUAACAAAUACCAAACCUCUACGAGAUACCCAGGAAUCUAGGAAUGCUGAAGUAUUUGAUUGGGGAGUUUUAGGCGUGGUUGGAAGAAAGAGUGUCUUAAGAGACUACCUGCGUUUCCGAUGUUCACCAUCCGCAUCCGCAGCAAACUUGGAAGGACUAUGGGCUUUGGAGUCAGCUAACUGGGUUAGAGCCUCCUCUGUGGCUCAGUAAUAAUGUAACCAAGAACAAGCAACUUAAUCUUGAGGAGUCAGUUUCCCGGUCGGGGAGGGGGCAUCAGACAGCCACAGAGCCUUACUCCUGGGGUUUAGGAAGAGGAAGUGCAAGAAUGUAUUUGAAAAGACUGGAUCCCUGUUUUGAGACAAAUGGGAGAUUCAGCUGCCAAAACAUUUUGCAUGAUUUGAUGGUGUUUCCAGGAUUUAGGUCUCAUUAGAGCAGUUCUCAGAAAGCAAAAGACAGCUGCCUGUAAGCGUGACAUUGUAUAUUCCUAUGGGCUCGAGACAAUGAAUGCUGCUCCUUCUGUCGGGCCCAGUUCUCAGGACUGAGCACAGAGCAGAUUAUACUAACCAUUCUACAGUCAUGUAUGCAUUGCGAUUCAGACCAAAAUAACUUGAGUGCACUCUCCUUUUCUUCCCUAACUCCUUUGUCAGCCCUCUGUACUUUCCAAUAAAACCAGAUAUAUCUAUUAAAAUGAAAAAAAAAAAGAGCUGUCCACAAUUAGAAUAUAUUGUGUGUGUAUUAUAACAUGCUUGCAUAAGGUGGGUAUAACAAGCCUAUAAAAUAGGUACAAUUAGCAUUUACAGACAAGAGGACAGGCUCAGGGUGGUUACGCAACUUGACCAAAGUCAUUCAGAUAGUAUACAGAACGUCACCUUUGACACAACCGUAAGCCCCAAGUUUUGCUAGCCUCGGCUGCUCUGUAACAAAAGUAGUAAUGACGAGUUCUUCAACUGCCUUUCACGUGUCAAGCAGAGUUUCCCACACACUCAGAUACAACUUCGGUGCUGUGGCUCAGUGAAGCUGGCUGUCACAUGCAGCUACCCCAGAACGGAAUUCUAAAACCCAAGCUGCCAGGCUGCAGAGAAUGUCCCUGGCUAACCUGCCUAUCAUGCUUCUCUGUACUCCCAGUGUCCAGAGGUGUCUCAGCAGUAGAGAGUUAUUUAGGAAAAGCCACCCUUUGCAGUCCUUGAAUCUCUGUCCCCAAUCCUUGAGAUUUCCAGAUGUUUGUGCCCUUCAGUCCCUGUUUGCCUCUGGAAGGCUGAAGGCAGCAUCUCCCUCUCCCUCUCCCUCUCUGGUGAGGCCUGGCUCUGCUCAUGGCCCCA